AAAAAGGGCUUGUGCUGUGCAUGGCACAUCGUGGCCUCCUCCGGGGGGUUGCGGUGCGGAAUCUAUAUCAAGAGAUUUCGGAAGCAUAAUUUUUGUUUCGGGGACUGCUUGUGAUCGUUUUUCCGGGCGUCCCA